GUAUCUCAAUUUAUUUUGGUACUUCAUUUAUGGCAACGCCGAUGUAAAGACUUCUCUUUUUCGCGAAUUUCGCUGCAUCUCUUUCACGUGGCGGCGUAUUAAAUUCAUAUUUCAAAUAAUAAGAAAUAGUGGCUAUUAUUCAUUCACAAAAAACUAGCAAUGCCUUUAGCUAAAGAUCUAUUACAUCCCAGUCCUGAUGAGGAGAGGAGGAAAUGUAAACUAAAACGCUUAGUGCAGCACCCUAAUUCGUUUUUCAUGGAUGUCAAAUGUCCUGGUUGUUACAAGAUCACUACUGUUUUCAGUCAUGCGCAGACCGUAGUAUUAUGUGUCGGAUGUUCAACUGUCCUCUGUCAACCAACUGGAGGAAGGGCAAGACUAACAGAAGGCUGCUCUUUUCGGAAAAAACAGCAAUGAAUGUGUAAAUGAAAAAAAAGUGUUUUUGUUUUUUUUAUAUGCCAUUAAAGCUGGUGUAAAUUAC